rnacentral:snRNA from 1 species
GGAUGUGAGGGCAAUCUGGCUGCAACAUCUUUCAACCCAUUGCUUGCAGUGUUUAUUUGGGUGAUCUGGCUGGCUAGGCAGAUGUCCCCUUCCUCCCUCACCACUCCAUGUGUGUCCCUACCAAAGCUGUACACAGUCAAAGAGGAUGACCAUCCCCAAUAAAGAAGGACUGGUCUUCAGUCAAGGUUAUACGGGUAGCUGUGCCCCACUUCUAGAACCUCCAAACAAGCUUUCAAGGUCCAUUUGUAGGAGAAUGUAAGGUAGUCAAGCUUCCAAGACUCCAGACACAUCCUAAUGAGGUGCUGCAUGUGGCUGUUUGCCUUCCUUA